AGCAGCCGCGGUAAUUCCAGCUCCAAUAGCGUAUAUUAAAGUUGCUGCAGUUAAAAAGCUCGUAGUUGAAUUUCGGGACUAAUAUGUCGGUCGUGCCUCGGUACGUACUGGCUUAUUGGUUUCUCCUUUCUGAAGAACCAUGAUGUCAUUUAUUUGGUGUCGUGGGGAAUCAGGACUGUUACUUUGAAAAAAUUAGAGUGUUUAAAGCAGGCUCACGCUUGAAUACAUUAGCAUGGAAUAAUGAAAUAGGACGUUUGGUUCUAUUUUGUUGGUUUCUAGGAUCGACGUAAUGAUUAAUAGGGAUAGUUGGGGGCAUUAGUAUUCAAUUGUCAGAGGUGAAAUUCUUGGAUUUAUUGAAGACUAACUACUGCGAAAGCAUUUGCCAAGGAUGUUUUCAUUAAUCAAGAACGAAAGUUAGGGGAUCGAAGACGAUCAGAUACCGUCGUAGUCUUAACCAUAAACUAUGCCGACUAGGGAUCGGAUGAUGUUAAUUUUUUAAUGACUCAUUCGGCGCCUUACG
rnacentral:misc_RNA from 1 species